rnacentral:rRNA from 1 species
UAAUACAGAGGGUGCAAGCGUUGCUCGGAUUUACUGGGCGUAAAGCGUACGCAGACGGUGAGAAAGGUCGGAUGUGAAAGCCCCGGGCUCAACCCGGGAACUGCAUCCGAAACCAUCUCGCUAGAGUAUGGGAGAGGGAAGCGGAAUUCCUGGUGUAGAGGUGAAAUUCGUAGAUAUCAGGAGGAACACCUGCGGCGAAGGCGGCUUCCUGGCCCAUUACUGACGUUCAGGUACGAAAGCGUGGGUAGCAAACAGGAUUAGAUACCCUGGUAGUCCACGCUGUAAACGAUGUGUGCUGGAUGUCGGGGGUAUUCACCCCCUCGGUAUCGAAGCUAACGCGAUAAGCACACCGCCUGGGGAGUACGGCCGCAAGGUUG